GAUGAACGCUGGCGGCGUGCCUAAUACAUGCAAGUCGAGCGAAUGGAUUAAGAGCUUGCUCUUAUGAAGUUAGCGGCGGACGGGUGAGUAACACGUGGGUAACCUGCCCAUAAGACUGGGAUAACUCCGGGAAACCGGGGCUAAUACCGGAUAACAUUUUGAACCGCAUGGUUCGAAAUUGAAAGGCGGCUUCGGCUGUCACUUAUGGAUGGACCCGCGUCGCAUUAGCUAGUUGGUGAGGUAACGGCUCACCAAGGCAACGAUGCGUAGCCGGCCUGAGAGGGUGAUCGGCCACACUGGGACUGAGACACGGCCCAGACUCCGACGGGAGGGAGCAGUAGGGAAUCUUCCGCAAGGGACGAAAGUCUGACGGAGCAACGCCGCGUGAGUGAUGAAGGCUUUCGGGUCGUAAAACUCUGUUGUUAGGGAAGAACAAGUGCUAGUUGAAUAAGCUGGCACCUUGACGGUACCUAACCAGAAAGCCACGGCUAACUACGUGCCAGCCGCCGCCGUAA
rnacentral:rRNA from 1 species